rnacentral:rRNA from 1 species
ACCGGCGCACGGGUGAGUAACGCGUAUGCAACCUACCUCUAACAGAGGGAUAGCCCAGGGAAACUUGGAUUAAUACCUCAUAAUAUAUACGAAUCGCAUGGUUUGUAUAUUAAAGUUCCGGCGGUUAGAGAUGGGCAUGCGUGCCAUUAGCUAGUUGGUGGGGUAACGGCCCACCAAGGCAACGAUGGCUACGGGGUCUAAAAGGAUGGUCCCGCACACUGGUACUGAGACACGGGCCAGACUCCUACGGGAGGCAGCAGUGAGGAAUAUUGGUCAAUGGGGGGAACCCUGAACCAGCCAUGCCGCGUGAAGGAAGACGGCCCUAUGGGUUGUAAACUUCUUUUGUACAGGAAUAAUAAGGGUUACGUGUAAUCCGACGAAGGUACUGUACGAAUAAGCAUCGGCUAACUCCGUGCCAGCAGCCGCGGUAAUACGGAGGAUGCAGGCGUUAUCCGGAUUUAUUAGGUUUAAAGGGUGCGCAGGCGGCCCGGUAAGUCAGUGGUGAAAGUUUGCAGCUCAACUGUAAAAUUGCCAUUGAUACUGUCGGGCUUGAAUGUGGUAGAGGUAGGCGGAAUGUGUAGUGUAGCGGUGAAAUGCUUAGAUAUUACACAGAACACCGAUUGCGAAGGCAGCUUACUAUGCCAUGAUUGACGCUGAGGCACGAAAGCGUGGGGAGCGAACAGGAUUAGAU